GCGGCGCGGCUAGAGCACUCACAAAGAAAGCACCUACUGUGCGCCAACCCUGCGCCCGGCAGCGUGGGGGAGACAGGGGAACCCAGUACUUCCAUGCCCUGGGGGGUUCUCGGUGGACUCGAGGUCAUGUCCUGGUGAGGAAUUAUGGUCCCUUUUAUUGAUGAGGAAGCGGAGGCACAGACGGCGCCGGUUCCAAGUCGCCUAGGCCUCCGAGGUGGGCGCAGCUCCUAGCCCGGCCUUCUGUCUGGAGACGCGGAGCGCGGGCUGCGAGCCUGGGUGGGACGGCCUUCACGCAGGGUACAAGGCAGCCCGUCCUGGUGGCCCUGCCGGCUGCACGAGGGGGAAGAGCUGACCUCCUGCCUCGUUUCCUCCGCUCUAAUGGAGAAGGAGGCUGCUGACUUGGAAAGAGGUUCCCAGCAGAGGCAAGAGAUGAUUGGAGGAGAGGACGCAGCGGAGGCAUGAGAUGAUUGGAGGAGGGAACGCUUCUUCCUAAUUUGCACAGUGACCCUAAAGGCUGUGGCAGCUGCCAAAGAGGCCAUAGCCCAACUGAGGUCUAUCAGAGAGGGCUUCCUGGAAGAGGCAACACAAAAACAAACGCUGAAUCAAAGGACAGAUGCUGCCCAAGGCACAGAAAGAGCCUUUGUGGUGCCAGCCUCAGGCCACCAGCCCUGGGAGGCCAGCCUCAGGACACCAACCUUCAUGAUACCAGCCUCAGGACGCCAGCCUCAGCACCACAGCCUUCAUAAUGCCAGCCUUGGGAUGCCAGCCUUUAUGACACCAGCCUCCAGCCACAGCCUCCAGCACCUCAGGGCUGUACCUGGGGUGGGGGAAGCGUUCACCUCUCAGAGACUCUGCUUCUUUGCCUGUGAAAUGAGAACAUCCCACCCGACCAUUA